ensembl:miRNA
GGCACUUGCGUGGGGGUUAGUGAGGAUAGGGCAAAUUCACGAGAUUGGCUUGUGCAGAGGCUGACACUUGGAUUUUCCUGGGCCUCAGGACUUCCUUUCAGACAUGG